rnacentral:rRNA from 1 species
AUUGAACGCUGGCGGCAGGCCUAACACAUGCAAGUCGAACGGUAACAGGAAGCAGCUUGCUGCUUUGCUGACGAGUGGCGGACGGGUGAGUAAUGUCUGGGAAACUGCCCGAUGGAGGGGGAUAACUACUGGAAACGGUAGCUAAUACCGCAUAACGUCGCAAGACCAAAGAGGGGGACCUUAGGGCCUCUUGCCAUCGGAUGUGCCCAGAUGGGAUUAGCUAGUAGGUGGGGUAACGGCUCACCUAGGCGACGAUCCCUAGCUGGUCUGAGAGGAUGACCAGCCACACUGGAACUGAGACACGGUCCAGACUCCUACGGGAGGCAGCAGCGGGGAAUAUUGCACAAUGGGCGCAAGCCUGAUGCAGCCAUGCCGCGUGUAUGAAGAAGGCCUUCGGGUUGUAAAGUACUUUCAGCGGGGAGGAAGGGAGUAAAGUUAAUACCUUUGCUCAUUGACGUUACCCGCAGAAGAAGCACCGGCUAACUCCGUG